AAUAACUAGCCGUCGCGUCGUUUCGUGAUUUAAACGACAGUGCAUCAAGCUGGAAGAAAAAAAAGGAAAAAACAACAGAUAGAUAUUCAACAGUUGUAUUUUCGUCGAUAAACCUCGAUCACUCGUACAUCACAACAUGCGUGUAUUGCUCAAGUGCACAAGGCUUUCGAGGUCGUCGAUAAUAACGAACACGAGUUGGAGGAGGGGGAGAAUUCCAGACUUAAGAGCGGACCCAACAACCCAACCGAAACCACAAGAGAAGUCGAACAACGGUGAGGGCACCCAACAACGGGACUCCCUAUGCCAAGACGUGUCGAGGUCAACCAUCUCUUCGAUUUUGUUCAUUACCCCUCGCAUGAAUAUGAAUUAUUGUUUAAAAAAAAUCAAUGAGUUACUCGUAUGAAACGAAAACAACAGAUUCCUAGACGAUUAAACGAUAUUUUCUGCUCGAGUGGAUGGAAAUUUUUGAGAGUUUGUUUACAGUUCAGAAAUGAAUGCUAGUGUUGGGUCACAGAGAAUAAAGAGAUCUCUAUUGUA